rnacentral:rRNA from 1 species
GCUUGUCUCAAAGAUUAAGCCAUGCAUGUCUCAGAAUAAAUCUCUAUACGUUGAAUCUGCAAAUGGCUCUUUAAAACAGUUAUUGUUUACUUGAUGGUCAUUCCUUACAUGGAUAACUGUGGUAAUUCUAGAGCUAAUACAUGCUAUCAAGCCCGACUUCUUGAAGGGUUGUAUUUAUUAGACUUAAGCCAAUAUUCCUUGUGUCUAUUGCGAUGAUUCAUAAUAACUGAUCGAAUCUCAAAUUUGAGAUAAAUCAUUCAAGUUUCUGCCCUAUCAGCUUUCGAUGGUAGUGUAUUGGACUACCAUGGCAGUAACGGGUAACGAAGAAUUAGGGUUCGAUUUCGGAGAGGGAGCAUGAGAAACGGCUACCACAUCUAAGGAAGGCAGCAGG